UGGUGUGGCUGGCUGACUGGUGGUAGUGGUGGUGGUGUGGCUGGCUGACUGGUGGUGGUGGUGGUGGUGUGGCUGGCUGACUGGUGGUGGUGGUGGUGGUGGUGUGGCUGGCUGACUAGUGGUGGUGGUGGUGUGGCUGGCUGACUGGUGGUGGAGGUGGUGGUGUGGCUGGCUGACUGUUGGUAGUGGUGGUGGUGUGGCUGGCUGACUGGUGGUGGUGGUGGAGGUGGUGGAGGUGGUGGUGGUGUGGCUGGCUGACUGGUGGUGGUGGUGUAAUGCCCCGACGAGCUUCUUUUCUAAAUCCUUCCUAUUUCUCAACACGGCCUCUGCGUGUAUCGAAAUAACACGAGAAAUUAAUCAAGAUCAGGGUAUUCGCCGGCUGCCUAGGAUUGAACCCGCGACCAGCGUGACGGGAGAGCCACUCCUUACCGAGUCGGCCAAAGAGGUACCCCUCUGGCUAAGUGGGUUAUGGGAGGCUCGUUCAUCAGGCCAUCGCCGCACUACACGGCUUUCCCCCCUAUGUAGAUUAAUUUCUGUGUGUUGACAAUGUCCCUUUGAGAUAUAACUCCACAAUGUCCCUUUUAGACAUACCUCCAACAUUCCCAUUUUCUAUCAACCUCGGAGCAUGGGCCAUCCUACCUGUUACCCCUUCGGAGAAGCUCAACAGAACUGCAGGAGAGGAUCCCACCGCUGCCACCACUGUAAUGACCCGACGAGCUUCUUUUCUAAAUCCUUCCUAUUUCUCAACACAUCCUCUGCGUGUAUCGAACUAACACGAGAAAUUAAUCAAGAUCAGGGUAUUCGCCGGCUGCCUGGGACUGAACCCGCGACCAGCGUGACGGGAGAGCCACUCCUUACCGAGUCGGCCAAAGAGGUACCCCUCUGGCUAAGUGGGUUAUGGGAGGCUCGUUCAUCAGGCCGUCGCCGCACUACAGUGGUGGUGGUGUGGCUGGCUGACUGGUGGUGGUGGUGUGGCUGGCUCAAUUAUGGUGGUGGUGGUGGUGGUGUGGCUGGCUCACUGAUGGUGGUGGUGGUGGAGGUGUGACUGGUUGACUGGUGGUGUUGGUGGUGAUGGUGGUGUGGCUGGCUGACUGACUGAGGUGGCUGACUGGUGGUGGUGGUGGUGGUGUGGCUGGCUGACUGUUGGUAGUGGUGGUGGUGUGGCUGGCUGACUGGUGGUGGUGGUGGAGGUGGUGGUGUGGCUGGCUGACUGGUGGUGGUGGUUGUGGUGGUGUGGCUGGCUGACUGGUGGUGGUGGUGGUGGUGGUGGUGUGGCUGGCUGACUGGUGGUGGUGGUGGUGGUGGUGUGGCUGGCUCAAUGAUGGUGGUGGUGCUGGUGGUGUGGCUGGCUCACUGAUGGUGGUGGAGGUGUGGCUGGUUGUGGUGGUGGUGAGGGUGGUGUGGCUGGCUGACUGAUUGAGGUGGCUGACUGGUGGUGGUGGUGGUGGUGGUGUGGCUGGCUGACUGACUGAGGUGGCUGACUGGUGGUGGUGGUGUGGCUGGCUGACUGGUGGUGGUGUGGCUGGCUGACUGGUGGUGGUGGUGGUGGUGUGGCUGGCUCAAUGAUGGUGGUGGUGGUGGUGGUGUGGCUGGCUCACUGAUGGUGGUGGUGGUGGAGGUGUGGCUGGUUGACUGGUGGUGGUGGUGGUGGUGAUGGUGGUGUGGCUGGCUGACUGACUGAGGUGGCUGACUGGUGGUGGUGGUGGUGGUGUGGCUGGCUGACUGACUGAGGUGGCUGACUGGUGGUGGUGGUGGUGGUGUGGCUGGCUGACUUGUGGUAGUGGUGUGGCUGGCUGACUGGUGGUGGUGGUGCUGGUGUGGCUGGCUGACUGACUGAGGUGGCUGACUGGUGGUGGUGGUGUGGCUGGCUGACUGACUGAGGUGGCUGACUGAUGGUGGUGGUGUGGCUGGCUGACUGACUGAGGUGGCUGACUGGUGGUGGUGGUGUGUCUGGCUGACUGCCUGAGGUGGCUGACUGGUGGUGGUGGUGUGGCUGGCUGACUGACUGAGGUGGCUGACUGGUGGUGGUGGUGUGGCUGGCUGACUGACUGAGGUGGCUGACUGAUGGUGGUAGUGGUGGUGGUGUGGCUGGCUGACUGACUGAGGUGGCUGACUGGUUGUGGUGGUGUGUCUGGCUGACUGGCUGACUGGUGGUGGUGGUGUGUCUGACUGAGGUGGCUGACUGGUGGUGGUGGUGGUGGUGGUGUGGCUGGCUGAAUGACUGAGGUGGCUGACUGGUGGUGGUGGUGGUGUGGCUGGCUGACUGACUGAGGUGGCUGACUGGUGGUGGUGGUGGUGGUGUGGCUAGCUGACUGACUGAGGUGGUUGACUGGUGGUGGUGAUGGUGGUGUGGCUAGCUGACUGACUGAGGUGGCUGACUGGUGGUGGUGGUGGUGGUGUGGCUGGCUGACUGGUGGUGGUGAUGGUGGUGUGGGUAGCUGACUGACUGGUGGUGGUGGUGGUGGUGUGGCUGGCUGACUGACUGAGGUGGCUGACUGGUGGUGGUGGUGUGGCUGGCUGACUGGUGAUGGUGGUGGUGGUUUGGAAAGUUUUGUUCAGUUGGCGCUACAUCUGUGGUCAUAUGCCGGAGAGAGACAGAAGGGGAAGGAAUUAUAGGAGAAGGGAACAGAUCCCAGGAGAUGGGACACAACCCCCGAUUAAUACCUGGUACCCAUUCACUGCUAGGUGGAUAGGGGCCUAGGGUAUCGGAAAAGCCGCCCAAAUUUUUCCAUUCCGCCCGGGAAUCGAACCCGGGCUCUCUCGGUUGUGAGUCGAGUGUGCUAACCACUGCACCACGAAGCCCCCUGGUGAUGAUGGUGUGGCUAGCUGACUGACUGAGGUGGCUGACUGGUGGUGGUGGUGGUGGUGGCUGGCUGGCUGGCUGGCUGGCUGGCUGGUGGUGGUGUGGCUAACUAACUGACUGAGGUGGCUGACUGGUGGUGGUGAUAGUGGUGGUGUGGCUGGCUGACUGACUGAGGUGGCUGACUGGUGGUGGUGGUGGUGUGGCUGGCUGACAAGUUUAAACUCAAUAAUCUUUAUAAAAUGUGAUUGAAAAUACAUGAAAAACCUUUCCUUGUUCUUUGUAAAUUGAAAAAAUUGUAGCUUAGGCAUUUUCUUGUGAGAAUUAUUACAAUUUAUAGCAGCACGUCACUGAAUGCUCGUCAUGUUUAGCAUCAGCCGAGUAAUGUUAUGCACACGCCUCGGUGCAGACAGGCGCGGGUUACAAGGGAUUGACACAAGUGUCCUCUCUUUACUAUCUGUACUCUUUGCUACUACUACUACCAUCACUUCACAC